GGUUAAGCGACUAAGCGUACACGGUGGAUGCCCUGGCAGUCAGAGGCGAUGAAGGGCGUGCUAAUCUGCGAUAAGCGCCGGUAAGGUGAUAUGAACCGUUAUAACCGGCGAUACCCGAAUGGGGAAACCCAGUGUGACUCGUCACACUAUCAUUAACUGAAUCCAUAGGUUAAUGAGGCGAACCGGGGGAACUGAAACAUCUAAGUACCCCGAGGAAAAGAAAUCAACCGAGAUUCCCCCAGUAGCGGCGAGCGAACGGGGAGGAGCCCAGAGCCUGAAUCAGCAUGUGUGUUAGUGGAAGCGUCUGGAAAGGCGCGCGAUACAGGGUGACAGCCCCGUACACAAAAGCGCAUGUGCUGUGAGCUCGAUGAGUAGGGCGGGACACGUGGUAUCCUGUCUGAAUAUGGGGGGACCAUCCUCCAAGGCUAAAUACUCCUGACUGACCGAUAGUGAACCAGUACCGUGAGGGAAAGGCGAAAAGAACCCCGGCGAGGGGAGUGAAAAAGAACCUGAAACCGUGUACGUACAAGCAGUGGGAGCACCCUUUGGGGUGUGACUGCGUACCUUUUGUAUAAUGGGUCAGCGACUUAUAUUCUGUAGCAAGGUUAACCGUAUAGGGGAGCCGUAGGGAAACCGAGUCUUAACCGGGCGUUAAGUUGCAGGGUAUAGACCCGAAACCCGGUGAUCUAGCCAUGGGCAGGUUGAAGGUUGGGUAACACUAACUGGAGGACCGAACCGACUAAUGUUGAAAAAUUAGCGGAUGACCUGUGGCUGGGGGUGAAAGGCCAAUCAAACCGGGAGAUAGCUGGUUCUCCCCGAAAGCUAUUUAGGUAGCGCCUCGUGAAUUCAUCUCCGGGGGUAGAGCACUGUUUCGGCUAGGGGGCCAUCCCGGCUUACCAACCCGAUGCAAACUGCGAAUACCGGAGAAUGUUAUCACGGGAGACACACGGCGGGUGCUAACGUCCGUCGUGAAGAGGGAAACAACCCAGACCGCCAGCUAAGGUCCCAAAGUCAUGGUUAAGUGGGAAACGAUGUGGGAAGGCCCAGACAGCCAGGAUGUUGGCUUAGAAGCAGCCAUCAUUUAAAGAAAGCGUAAUAGCUCACUGGUCGAGUCGGCCUGCGCGGAAGAUGUAACGGGGCUAAACCAUGCACCGAAGCUGCGGCAGCGACACUCAGGUGUUGUUGGGUAGGGGAGCGUUCUGUAAGCCUGUGAAGGUGGCCUGUGAGGGUUGCUGGAGGUAUCAGAAGUGCGAAUGCUGACAUAAGUAACGAUAAAGCGGGUGAAAAGCCCGCUCGCCGGAAGACCAAGGGUUCCUGUCCAACGUUAAUCGGGGCAGGGUGAGUCGACCCCUAAGGCGAGGCCGAAAGGCGUAGUCGAUGGGAAACGGGUUAAUAUUCCCGUACUUGGUGUUACUGCGAAGGGGGGACGGAGAAGGCUAUGUUGGCCGGGCGACGGUUGUCCCGGUUUAAGCGUGUAGGCUGGUUUUCCAGGCAAAUCCGGAAAAUCAAGGCUGAGGCGUGACGACGAGGCACUACGGUGCUGAAGCAACAAAUGCCCUGCUUCCAGGAAAAGCCUCUAAGCAUCAGGUAACAUCAAAUCGUACCCCAAACCGACACAGGUGGUCAGGUAGAGAAUACCAAGGCGCUUGAGAGAACUCGGGUGAAGGAACUAGGCAAAAUGGUGCCGUAACUUCGGGAGAAGGCACGCUGACACGUAGGUGAAGUGAUUUACUCAUGGAGCUGAAGUCAGUCGAAGAUACCAGCUGGCUGCAACUGUUUAUUAAAAACACAGCACUGUGCAAACACGAAAGUGGACGUAUACGGUGUGACGCCUGCCCGGUGCCGGAAGGUUAAUUGAUGGGGUCAGCGCAAGCGAAGCUCCUGAUCGAAGCCCCGGUAAACGGCGGCCGUAACUAUAACGGUCCUAAGGUAGCGAAAUUCCUUGUCGGGUAAGUUCCGACCUGCACGAAUGGCGUAAUGAUGGCCAGGCUGUCUCCACCCGAGACUCAGUGAAAUUGAACUCGCUGUGAAGAUGCAGUGUACCCGCGGCAAGACGGAAAGACCCCGUGAACCUUUACUAUAGCUUGACACUGAACAUUGAGCCUUGAUGUGUAGGAUAGGUGGGAGGCUUUGAAGCGUGGACGCCAGUCUGCGUGGAGCCGACCUUGAAAUACCACCCUUUAAUGUUUGAUGUUCUAACGUGGACCCGUUACCCGGGUUGCGGACAGUGUCUGGUGGGUAGUUUGACUGGGGCGGUCUCCUCCUAAAGAGUAACGGAGGAGCACGAAGGUUGGCUAAUCCUGGUCGGACAUCAGGAGGUUAGUGCAAUGGCAUAAGCCAGCUUGACUGCGAGCGUGACGGCGCGAGCAGGUGCGAAAGCAGGUCAUAGUGAUCCGGUGGUUCUGAAUGGAAGGGCCAUCGCUCAACGGAUAAAAGGUACUCCGGGGAUAACAGGCUGAUACCGCCCAAGAGUUCAUAUCGACGGCGGUGUUUGGCACCUCGAUGUCGGCUCAUCACAUCCUGGGGCUGAAGUAGGUCCCAAGGGUAUGGCUGUUCGCCAUUUAAAGUGGUACGCGAGCUGGGUUUAGAACGUCGUGAGACAGUUCGGUCCCUAUCUGCCGUGGGCGCUGGAGAACUGAGGGGGGCUGCUCCUAGUACGAGAGGACCGGAGUGGACGCAUCACUGGUGUUCGGGUUGUCAUGCCAAUGGCACUGCCCGGUAGCUAAAUGCGGAAGAGAUAAGUGCUGAAAGCAUCUAAGCACGAAACUUGCCCCGAGAUGAGUUCUCCCUGAGACUUUAGGUCUCCUGAAGGAACGUUGAAGACGACGACGUUGAUAGGCCGGGUGUGUAAGCGCAGCGAUGCGUUGAGCUAACCGGUACUAAUGAACCGUGAGGCUUAACCUU
rnacentral:rRNA from 1 species